ACCUUCAUUCAUAAAACAAGAGCCAUCAUCAUCUUCUUCAUUGCACAUCGCCGUUGCUGCUACUCCCCCGAAUCCAGUGGGAGUUUUCCGAUCAGUGCCAUCGACGGUUUCUUUGGUGCUCACAGUUCGAUCCGACGUAAACCAGCCAAGUUCAUUAGGCAUUCGAAUGUCGUCAGAUGCUAAAUUAGUCCACCAGUUGGGGUAGUCGACAAGGCAAAAGCAUUGAUCUUUGGUGUGCUUGGUCAUACCGCAGUGGUCACACUUCAGGUUUGCGGGUUGUAAUGAUAUACCGGAACCCGAGCUGCCGUCUCCGGACAUGGUAGCUCAGAUGGGUUAUCAAUUUGAGAAAGGGGCGGAAGAAAAAUCAAGAGGUAUAUGAUGAGCAAUCAUGUUCUGAUACCAUCUUAACUUUUAUUGAGAGAUUUUUUUGAUUGAAUACUUGAAUGAAUGAAUUACAAUGAGGACAGCCACUAUUUAUACAACUUUACAAUGUUUUAAAUAUAGAAAACAACUAUCAAUGGCUGGCAAUUGUGAAGGAAUAGAAACCAAAAAAUUUGCCCCUCUAAAUUAAAGGGAAAUGAUGCGUUGAUUGCCAAUUUGCUGAUCACAUAAAAUCUUUGUUUUUAUUCUUCUUUUUGACAAAAACAACACCUAGUUACCAAGUAAUGUUUCAGAGAGAGGUAGUUAGAGGUCUGGUUGAUUGAAUACUGUGAUACUGACUAUGCUCAAGAUUUUACUACUCACCGUUCGACGACCGGUUACGUGUUUAUGGUUGAAUUUCAAAAUUAUGGUUUAGUUUAGUUUGAAAUUAGAAUAAGUUGGAAAGGACUAAAGGGUGCUAUACAUAACCCUCAUCUAGUAUUUGUUUUCUAGUCGUUUUCAACCCUCAUUGUAAAUACUUUUGUAUAUAUUUUGAUGGCUUUUAGAUGAUGUAGAAUUUGAAAGUAUGGGUAGGUGUUUUGGUUCUAUAAAUCACCAGAAAGGAUAAUCUUGAGCCCAUGCUUUCCAAAUUGUGACGAGCAAAUUAAUGGGGAACAUGCUCUCCAUUCCGAUAGGAAAU